rnacentral:rRNA from 1 species
AACGAACGCUGGCGGCAUGCCUAACACAUGCAAGUCGAACGAGACCUUCGGGUCUAGUUGCUCACGGGUGCGUAACGCGUGGGAACCUGCCCUUAGGUUCGGAAUAACUCCCCGAAAGGGGUGCUAAUACCGGAUAAUUUCUGCUGACCAAAGAUUUAUCGCCUUUGUAUGGGCCCGCGUUGUAUUAGCUAGUUGGUAGGGUAAAAGCCUAUGAAGGCGACGAUCCAUAGCUGGUCUGAGAGGAUGAUCAGCCACACUGGGAAUGAGACACGGCCCAGACUCCUACGGGAGGCAGCAGUGGGGAAUAUUGACAAUGGGCGAAAGCCUGAUCCAGCAAUGCCGCGUGAGUGAUGAAGGCCUUAGGGUUGUAAAGCUCUUUUACCCGGGAUGAUAAUGACAGUACCGGGAGAAUAAGCUCCGGCUAACUCCGUG